CAAAGAGUGUAUCUGAACAAGGUUUUUGUCAAGUAGUCUCAGCGAGAGCAUUUGUACAGAAACACUUUUGAAUCAGUCUCCUUUUGUUGAAAAUGAAUGUAUAAUGUCACUUUAGACGAACAGGCAUUUAUCGCCCAUAUUUGGUAUAUUAUUGUGGAUACAAACGAACUCUUGGGAAGGAGUAGGAGACACUUUACCAGUGACACAGCUAAAAAAGAAAAAAAUAAUGUCCUGACAAAAGCAACAAAGAAACUGUAAACAGUUGUGUUUACAACUGCAAAAGUGUCACAACUGGAAAACUGUGAAAUUUUAAACCUAACAUUUCAAAUACACUAUCCACACAGAGUGGUAAGUCUGUUGAUAUCAUUUCUAUAGUGAUUUCCUUCAUUGUUGACAGCCUGUCCAUGUAUGUGAAGCUCUGGGGGGGGGGGGGGGGGGGAUUUGGUUAUAGAGAUGCGGCAAGGGAAGAGUAAUGUUUUUGGCCGACAGAAACACUGUGUAUUUUUGUCUUUAUCGUUUGUACUGUAUCUGCCACACAAAGAAGUUCAAAAAAAUCUAUCCAGGAACCUUUUACAUUUUAUUGUACAGGUCAGGUGAAGUUAUGCCUUGGAGUGUGUGCUGAGUCUGACAUUGUCACAUCCACCGCCCUACAGAAAUUGCCCCGACUUCCUGGGUUAUUGUACAGCUGAAGUUAAACACCUCAGAAUGGAAACUUUUCUAGCUUUUGAAAGGAAUUAUUCAGUCUUUUAGACUAUUAGUCAGACAAAACCAGACAUUUUGAACAUGUCAGCAGUGGCUCCAUAAAGUCGAAGUGCGCAGUGUUUUAUCAUCUUGUUAAAUCGACCGUUUGAGAAAACAGUCAUUAGAUUAUUUGGUACCACUUCACAAUAAGGGUACAUUAAUUGAUGGUGAUUAAUAAGCAUUAACUAACAGUUCAUUAUGAGUUAACUAAUGUUAGUAAUCAUUUAUUAAUGGUGUUUGUUAGUUAAUACAGUGGGCAUUAACACAUUAAGAUUUGUUUAGUAAUUAUUAAUGUUCAGUAGCUUAAAAAUUUAAUGUUUAAACUAAUACCGUAACAUGAAUGUAAUAAAUAAAUGACUAAACCGUUAACUCUGAAUACAUUUAAUGCUUAUUACUGCUUUAAGUACUGUUAAUAUACCCUCAUUGUAAAAUGUUACAACUUAUAACAAACUAUCUUUAGUUGCCGCUUUAUUUUAGAUUCUUAGUGACUACAUUUCUUUCAGUUUCCGUAUUCUCAGCCAGUUUGACUGAGAUUAAAGGAUUGCAUUCAAAGUAAAGGUUCCAUCCAUUUUUACCUGUGCUUUCAACAUCUGAAGAUCCAAUAUGUGUCAUGCUUCAUGCCCCUCCCCUCCCCAAAAUCUUUAUAAACAUGAUCUUUGUGAUUUUU